rnacentral:misc_RNA from 1 species
AAGUCGUAACAAGGUCUCCGUUGGUGAACCAGCGGAGGGAUCAUUAUAGAGUUAUAAAACGCUCAAAACCCUUUGUAAACCCUUUACCUUUGUUGCUUCGGCGGCGCCCUCUAGGGGGAUGCCCGCCGGCAGUAUACCGAAUCUCUGUUUUCGAACCCGACGUAACGUCUGAGUGUUCUAAGCGAACUGUUAAAACUUUCAGCAACGGAUCUCUUGGCUCCA